rnacentral:rRNA from 1 species
AUUGAACGCUGGCGGCAGGCCUAACACAUGCAAGUCGAACGAGUGGCGGACGGGUGAGUAAUGUCUGGGAAACUGCCUGAUGGAGGGGGAUAACUACUGGAAACGGUAGCUAAUACCGCAUAACAUCAGAUGUGCCCAGAUGGGAUUAGCUAGUUGGUGGGGUAACGGCUCGCCAAGGAGACGAGCCCUAGCUGGUCUGAGAGGAUGACCAGCCACACUGGAACUGAGACACGGUCCAGACUCCGACGGGAGGCAGCAGUGGGGAAUAUUGGACAAUGGGCGAAAGCCUGAUGCAGCCAUGCCGCGUGUAGGAAGAAGGCCUUCGGGUUGUAAAGUACUUUCAGCGGGGAGGCGUUACCCGCAGAAGAAGCACCGGCUAACUACGUGCCAGCAGCCGCGGUAAUUC